GAUGAAGAACGCAGCGAAAUGCGAUAAGUAGUGUGAAUUGCAGAAUUCAGUGAAUCAUCGAAUCUUUGAACGCACAUUGCGCCCUUUGGUAUUCCAAAGGGCAUGCCUGUUCGAGCGUCAUUUGUACCCUCAAGCUUUGCUUGGUGUUGAGCGUCUUGUCUCUAGCUUUGCUGGAGACUCGCCUUAAAGUAAUUGGCAGCCGGCCUACUGGUUUCGGAGCGCAGCACAAGUCGCACUCUCUAUCAGCAAAGGUCUAGCAUCCAUUAAGCCUUUUUUUUCAACUUUUGACGUCGGAUCAGGUAGGGAUACCCGCUGAACUUAAGCAUAUCAAUAAGCGGAGGA
rnacentral:misc_RNA from 1 species